GACGAACGCUGGCGGCGUGCUUAACACAUGCAAGUCGAACGGAAAGGCCCUGCUUUUGUGGGGUGCUCGAGUGGCGAACGGGUGAGUAACACGUGAGUAACCUUCCCUUGACUUUGGGAUAACUUCAGGAAACUGGGGCUAAUACCGGAUAGGAGCUCCUGCUGCAUGGUGUGGGUUGGAAAGUUUCGGCGGUUGGGGAUGGACUCGCGGCUUAUCAGCUUGUUGGUGGGGUAGUGGCUUACCAAGGCUUUGACGGGUAGCCGGCCUGAGAGGGUGACCGGCCACAUUGGGACUGAGAUACGGCCCAGACUCCUACGGGAGGCAGCAGUGGGGAAUAUUGAACAAUGGGCGGAAGCCUGAUGCAGCAACGCCGCGUGCGGGAUGACGGCCUUCGGGUUGUAAACCGCUUUCGCCUGUGACGAAGCGUGAGUGACGGUAAUGGGUAAAGAAGCACCGGCUAACUACGUG
rnacentral:rRNA from 1 species